ensembl:snoRNA U3 Small nucleolar RNA U3
AAGACUGUGACUUCAGGGAUCAUUUCUAUUGUUCAUCCUUGGAGAAAUUUCUCUGACCUUGCAGAGUGCCAGAAACCAUGAGAAAGAGGCCCAGAGUUCCCUCCUGAGGGUGAAGGCAGCUCUUGGUGAUACUUUACUGCAACUGCCUUUUGCUAUUGUUGUCUGUUCUUCUCUCCCUUCCUUUGGAAGGCUGAGAGGCGGGAAAUGUAUAUGAGAGCU